UUUGCUUAGUUAGAGAAAAUAAUCAAGUAAAAGGGCUAUGUAAUAAGGAAAUUGUAAUGAAGAAAUAAUAUUCAAAACUUUUAUUGGCUUGUUAAUGACUCUUCGUAGGAGGCUUAAAUACGAUCUUUUUUUUUUUUCCUUAUGGGAACAAUCCACGGUGGCAUAAUACGUUGCUAACUAGUUCAUCCUUAGAAAUACAUCAUGGUCUCCCGUGUCAACAUCUAUCAGGCCCAUCAUGGGUGAAACUGAGUCCCGUAGAAGAGGGGUUAGAUUGUGCUGUGGAUAGACUGGAUGACCCCUGUGGUAGUAAUAGAUGAUACGUAGAG
rnacentral:lncRNA from 1 species